CGCCCAAUAGCUAGCCCACUCACCAACAAACAACACACCACCAUUACUAACCCCUCAUAAACGAAAUGAAAUUAAACAAACCAUUUUUCCCCCCAAGUAUGGGCGACAGAAAAG
rnacentral:rRNA from 1 species